AAAGAUUUCCAUUUGCAGAAUUAAGUUCAAUUUUGGGCCUACGUGACAAGCCACAUUUUAAUGACAUCUUUCCCCAGGUAUGGCUCAAGCUUGUAUGUGGGCUCUAGAUUGGAAGAAUAAAUUCUGGGGACAUUUGAGACUUUUUUAGAUGCUGGUGAGAUAGUCAACCCUCGUGAAUGAAAAAGUUCUGGGGAGAGCCUCUGGACAUUGUUUUCAGGAAGAUUGAUUCUGAUCAUCUUAUCAGCCAAGGCAUAUGACCAGGGAGAGUGCUGGGAGCAGGCAGGCCGUUUCCACCACCGUGACACAGAAACAAACGGCAGAUUAUCUGCUGGGUACAAAAGAGUUCAACAUGUUCAGCCACCAUCUGCCCAACUGCAAAUUCAGCAGGAAAGAAGCACAGGUGAAGUUGAGAGGAGACUCUUGGUCAGAGGACCACGGAGUAUCCUGAGUUGGAAGGGAUCCACAGGGAUCAUUGAGGUCUACAAAGAGGCUUCAAAUGACUUCUGUAUUUUCAGAGCUGGCAGAACACAGUGCAGGCACCUGAGCAAACUGCUACAAGCCAGUGCUGGGAAAACCUGAAUACAGAUGGAAUAAAAAAAAGCCGAUCUACUGUACCACAGCAACAGCUACUUCUGUGUUACAGACACUGGGUUGUUAGGUGAAGGCUAAGUGACAGUGUGGCUACCACCUUGCUAGCUUAUAUUUCAUGGAAUCUUUCUUCCACAUAAUAAUGUUUUUUUAUUAUUAUUGUUAUUUGCACUGAGUGAGUACUGUUCUAUCUUGUCUCUUGUUAUUGUAGUGAUUGAAACUACAAAUAAAAUUUCAACUAGAUCUCCAGAGACUGUAUUUCUGUAAUAUUACACAUUGUGUAUUGCUCAGAAGCAUGGACUAAGCUAAGACAAAUUCUUAGAACAAGAGAGCACGUCC
ensembl:lncRNA